rnacentral:ncRNA from 2 species
UUUGCGCGAUUCUGACCCGGUUCCGCCGGGCCAGAGUGGGGAAAGCCGGUGAGAGACCGGCGCUGACCCGCAACUGUAAGCGAGAACCCCUCGGGGCCAUCGUGAGCCAGAAUGCCCGCCUCUGUCCGCCGGCUUGC